CGUAAACAAUGUGUGCCUUGUGGGAGCAAUGCCUUUCCCGGAAAUUAAAGGAAACCGGAAACCGGACCGGAAAAGUCACAGGCAUAAGUGUGUCUUUGGAAAGAAAGACUCCACGCUCUCAAUAUUAACCUGGGGAUGAGGGGCACGGUGGGUGCCAAUUCCCCAGACUGUGGUCAAUCUGCCGUCUAACUAAAGGGUGCCAGGAUACUAACGACUCCCAAACUGGCAAGAUAAAAACUUAGUUUUCUUCUUCUUAUCCACGAGAUCCCUUAAGUCUGUUGCUUUCGGAAGACACCUGCAAAAAUGACGUGGAAAUCAGUGGCGCACCGGGUGGCAUUGUUCCUGGAUGCGUGGGGACGCCGGCGGCGCGGCCUGGCUGCGCGGCCUGGCUACACGUCCGGAGCGCGAGUCAGCAGUCAGCGCGCAUUGAUUUCACCCCGAGUCUCCGCCCUGCUGCCGAACAUCAUUUAGGCCAAGAUCGGGAUAAUGGGAAACACCAUCAGCAGACAAUUACCCUUUCAGAGGAUUCACUUCUCCUCACAGACACUGUUAUUUGAGAAAUAGGAUCAUUUGAUUUCAUAUUGCACUAAAUAACACCCAGCCGGUUCAAAUUGCCAGCUUCUUAAAAACCGCCCAUUGGAAUAAAUUGCAGCGGCCUCUUUUGCUUUUCAGGGAAAUAUGACCGGGACUGGGCAGAACUUGCAAAAAUAACUACAAAGCCAGCCCCGAGCAGUCGCUAUUGGUGGGAACAGCGCUGCCACCCCACAAGCAAAGACAUCCAGGCACUUUGUCCCUUGUCACCGCCCCCCUCCGCCUGCCAACUUUGAGAGGAUUCAACUACUUGGCUUUGGAAUUAAAAUGCUCAGCCCCAGCCACCCCGAGAAUGCGCCUCGAGCCACCCGGCGCACUAAUGUUGAGCCACGAGAGACGGGCAGGUGCGCCUUGUAGGCCUUUCUGCCUUCACAACCGGCGCCAAGUCGGCGGCCCUGGCAGGGUCUCGCAGGCAGGCAGGCAGGAGGAGAGGGCAAGCGGCCGGCGGCGGAAGACGUUUCAGA
rnacentral:lncRNA from 1 species